rnacentral:rRNA from 1 species
GACGAACGCUGGCGGCGUGCUUAACACAUGCAAGUCGAGCGGAGCGGCGAACGGGUGAGUAACGCGUGAGUAACUGCCCCCCUCCCUGGGAUAACAGUUGGAAACGGCUGCCAAUACCGGAUAGUGGGGGAUGACUCGCGGCCUAUCGGCUUGUUGGUGGGGUAGUGGCCUACCGAGGCGACGACGGGUAGCCGGCCUGGGCGGGCGGCCGGACACAUGGCUCUAAGAGACGGCGCAGACUCCUACGGGGGGCAGCGGUGGGGAAUAUUACGCAGUGGGGGAAACCCUGAUGCAGCAACGCCGCGGGCGGGAUGACGGCCUUCGGGUUGUAAACCGCUUUCAGCCAUGACGCGGUAGUGGCAGAAGAAGCACCGGCUAACUACGUGCCAGCAGCCGCGGUAAUAC